GAUGAACGCUGGCGGCGUGCCUAAUACAUGCAAGUCGAACGAAACUUCUUUAUCACCGAGUGCUUGCACUCACCGAUAAAGAGUUGAGUGGCGAACGGGUGAGUAACACGUGGGCAACCUGCCCAAAAGAGGGGGAUAACACUUGGAAACAGGUGCUAAUACCGCAUAACCAUAGUUACCGCAUGGUAACUAUGUAAAAGGUGGCUAUACUACCGCUUUUGGAUGGGCCCGCGGCGCAUUAGCUAGUUGGUAGGGUAAAGGCUCACCAAGGCAAUGAUGCGUAGCCGAAUUGAGAGGUUGAUCGGCCACAUUGGGACUGAGACACGGCCCAAACUCCUACGGGAGGCAGCAGUAGGGAAUCUUCCACAAUGGGCGAAAGCCUGAUGGAGCAACGCCGCGUGGGUGAAGAAGGUCUUCGGAUCGUAAAACCCUGUUGUUAGAGAAGAAAGUGCGUGAGAGUAACUGUUCACGUUUCGACGGUAUCUAACCAGAAAGCCACGGCUAACUACGUG
rnacentral:rRNA from 1 species